UACGUAGGGUGCAAGCGUUAAUCGGAAUUACUGGGCGUAAAGCGUGCGCAGGCGGUGAUGUAAGACAGGUGUGAAAUCCCCGGGCUCAACCUGGGAACUGCAUCUGGGACUGCAUUGCUGGAGUGCGGCAGAGGGGGAUGGAAUUCCGCGUGUAGCAGUGAAAUGCGUAGAUAUGCGGAGGAACACCGAUGGCGAAGGCAAUCCCCUGGGCCUGCACUGACGCUCAUGCACGAAAGCGUGGGGAGCAAACAGG
rnacentral:rRNA from 1 species